AGAUAUAAAGGUGAUCUGGUUGUGACAUGUAUCAAUGUAUGGAUCACUAAUGUUGAUUCAAGUGAUAGAGCUAGCUGAGCAUGUCCCCUUCCUCUCUCACUAGUCCAUGUGUAUGUGCUUGGUAGAAUUGGACAGAUAUCCUAGACAAAAGGGGUAUCCCACUUGUUCUGAACCAUUAUUUAGCAAAAGAACAUAAUUUGAGGCAAUAGUUUGGAAUCAGAACAAGGAAAUUAACACCAAGCCAUAGUAGGAAUCAAUCUUCUACUUCUUGAGAUCUGUCCAGGUUUCUGAUCUGA
rnacentral:snRNA from 1 species